rnacentral:misc_RNA from 1 species
GUUGAACGUAUCAAUCGUCGGUCGUCCGAWUCWUGCCSACKCAUUGKAUCGUCGAGGCGCGGGUGAACGAUACCCGGGAACACGGGGGUUCGAGCGGCGUACGGUCCUCUCGGGGGSCGCGCCGUCGUCUCGAGCUGCUCGCKCCUCGUCSUCCGAAGAACAGAAGGGACCGCGCAAMCACGCCGRCCGCACGUYCGAAGUCCGCUGGCKGACGGGGACGGMGACUCGGAGAGAUACCGUGAUCGGCCGUCGCCCGCCGUGGCGGAACGGUCGGCGUGGAAGCGAAGGACCCAAGGCGCACACGAAGCUCGAAUCGGCCCCACGCGGGCCGACUUGCAGACU